UCCUGGAUAGCUCGGCUGGUUAAGAGCAUGGGGAUGUUAUCAUCCACGCCAAGGUUGUGGGUUCGAUUCCCGUACGGGAC